UUUGAAUUUUCUUGAGUUAAUGUACUAAUUUCUCUCUAUCUUUCUAUGCAGAAUUAUAAAUAUGCAUCAUCUUCAUUUAUGUUGAAUAUUUUUCCUUGUAUCCCUUUGAUUCAUUAAAGAUGGAUAUGCAAUAUAAUCACAACAAAUUCUCUCUAUGUUGCACUACCUUGGAGACCAGACUACUAAGACAAACCCAUUACCACAUGUAAGAAUGUCUGGUUUUUUUUUCCACGUUCCAGAAUUUGGAUCCCAUCAGAAAAUCUCCAGGUAACGGUUACCUCAUUCCAUGGACCAAGAUAUUGACUGUCAUUCAACUUAUUUUGCUACAAACAAUUCAUCAGUGAUGCCAUGGGGAUAUAUUGAGAGUUUGUCUCCCAUUGAAUAGAUUUUUUUCUAACACAGCAUUGAGUUUGAGCUAUUAAGGUAGGUAUUGCUUUACAUUGAUGAGUUUUGUUCAUCAAUAACUUUUGCUUAACGAUUUUAAAUUGCUC
rnacentral:lncRNA from 1 species